rnacentral:rRNA from 1 species
AACAAACGCUGGCGGCGUGCCUAAUACAUGCAAGUCGAACGAGGUAGCAAUACCUAGUGGCGCACGGGUGAGGAAUAUAUGGGUAAUCUGCCCUCGAGUUUGGGAUAACCAGUCGAAAGAUUGGCUAAUACCGGAUAAGACCAACAGGAUCUGCGGAUCUAGGGGUUAAAGGUUUUCGCUUGAGGAUGAGCCCAUAUGGGAUUAGCUAGUUGGUAAGGUAAUGGCUUACCAAGGCUACGAUCCCUAACUGGUCUUAGAGGAUGAUCAGUC